rnacentral:rRNA from 1 species
UGAGUACGAGAUGCUACGGCAUCGAAGCAGUCUAUGUCAUACUUCCAAGAAAAGCUUGCACUGUCAUAAACAAAGAAUGCCUGUACCAUAACCGACACAGGGGGGUAGGUAGAGUAUACUAAGGGGCGCGAGAUAACUCUCUCUAAGGAACUCGGCAAAAUGACUCCGUAACUUCGGGAGAAGGAGUGCCUUAUUUCUAAGGUUGCAAUAACAAGAUCCAAGCAACUGUUUACCAAAAACACAGGUCUCCGCUAAGUCGUAAGACGAUGUAUGGGGGCUGACGCCUGCCCAGUGCCAGAAGGUUAAAGAAGUUGGUUAGCAUUAGCGAAGCUGAUAACUGAAGCCCUGGUGAACGGCGGCCGUAACGAUAACGGUCCUAAGGUAGCGAAAUUCCUUGUCGGGUAAGUUCCGACCCGCACGAAAGGCGUAAUGAUUUGGAUACUGUCUCGGAGAGGGGCUCGGUGAAAUAGACUUGUCUGUGAAGAUGCGGACUACCUGCACCUGGACAGAAAGACCCUAUGAAGCUUUACUGUAACUUGAGAUUGAAAUUGGACUUUAUUUGCGCAGUAUAGGUGGGAGGCGUUGAGAAUAAUCUUGCGGGAUUGUUGGAGCCAUCAGUGAGAUACCACUCUUGUAAUGUUAGAUUUCUAACUUUGUAUCAUUAUCUGGUCAAAGAACAGUUUCAGGCGGGCAGUUUGACUGGGGCGGUCGCCUCCCAAAGGGUAACGGAGGCGCACAAAGGUUUCCUCUGAACGGGUAGAAAUCGUAUCUAGAGUGUAAAGGCAUAAGGAAGCUUGACUGUGAGACCUACAAGUCGAGCAGGGACGAAAGUCGGUCUUAGUGAUCUGACGGUGCUGAGUGGAAAGGCCGUCACUCAACGGAUAAAAGUUACUCUAGGAUAACAGGCUGAUCUCCCCCAAGAGUUCACAUCGACGGGGAGGUUUGGCACCUCGAUGUCGGCUCAUCGCAUCCUGGGGCGGUAGUCCGUCCCAAGGGUUGGGCUGUUCGCCCAUGAAAGCGGUACGCGAGCUGGGUUCAGAACGUCGUGAGACAGUUCGGUCCAUAUCCGGUGUAGGCGUUAGAAUAUUGAGAGGAGCCUUCUCUAGUACGAGAGGACCGAGAAGGACAUACCUCUGGUGUACCAGUUAUCGUGCCAACGGUAAACGCUGGGUAGCUAUGUAUGGAGUGGAUAACCGCUGAAAGCAUCUAAGUGGGAAGCCCACCUCAAGAUAAG